rnacentral:rRNA from 1 species
UACCAGCACCCCGAGUGGUCGGGACGAUUAUUGGGCCUAAAGCAUCCGUAGCCGGUCAUGCAAGUCUUCCGUUAAAUCCAGCCGCUCAACGGUUGGGCUGCGGAGGAUACUACAUGGCUAGGAGGCGGGAGAGGCAAGCGGUACUCAGUGGGUAGGGGUAAAAUCCUUUGAUCCAUUGAAGGCCACCAGUGGCGAAGGCGGCUUGCCAGAACGCGCUCGACGGUGAGGGAUGAAAGCUGGGGGAGCAAAGCCAGG